CCAGGUAGCUGGCAAUAGACAAGGACUGCUGGGAAAGGCUACAGGAAGGCAGGCAGCAGACUGUCCCUGGGAAGAGAAUUUGGAGCUGGUACAAGCAGAAUGGGAACCACAUGUGGCAGAAAGCAGUCCAGGGAAGGAGCACUGAAGGCUGGAAGAGGAACCCAAAACUGCUGAGACCUCAGCGGAGGGGGUUCUCUGCUCGAAUAAGAUGGGAAUGUGUGCCUCAGUGACAGAGAGAAGUACAUCACCUCGAGGGGAGGCCAACAUAUACAAACCUCUGGGCACUGGCAUCUGCAUCAGUACUGGUGAUGUCUGUCUGCUAGGUGGGGCAUUCAAGGAAGCUGGAUUGCCCAGUACUUGAUGAUUUCUGGUACCUGUCUCCUCCUCGUAUAAAGAGAUCUCCAUAGACUGUUCCAGAAAGUAAAGCUUCAGUCACUCAUCCUCUGACUUGAAGAAAACAACUGUCACAUCGAGCAUUUAUCCAGUAUAUGACUGUAGCAGAGUAUAGCAAGGCCCCCUUGCUCCGGCUUCUGCUGCGUUCACAAAUCACGCAGACCCUGGAGCUUACCAAUCACCAGUGUGGUUUAUUUACAGCGUGCACUCCCACCACAUACAGCUUGGGUUUUCAGCCUUAAGGACUUCUCAGCUUCUGCACCCAGGAGGGAAGAGCUACCACUCUCCUUCCACUCUCUGGCUCCCACCCUAUUCCUUUCUUCCCCUGGGCCUGUAUGUAGCCCCAGGCUAAUUAGGCUGGCAGCUGUUUCCCAUUUGCCAAUGGUGCAGGUUUCUCUAGCCAGCUCCAAUUUACCUCCCUUAAUUGGAGCUGGCAUGAGAGAGGGCUGGCUCAGGAGUUCCUGCCCAGCACCGUGUCAAAAUGACUCUCUCCCAAACAGAAGAGGCUGAGUCCAUCUUGUAAUUAAAUUAGCCCAUUGCAGACCUUGAAGCCAUAGGUUUAUAGUCUGCCUGUUAAGGCACCCUCUACAGGGUAAGUAUACAAGGGGGACUCUACAGGAGAGUCUCACCAUCCUGCUACAGGAGUAGCGCAGCUGCCAUAUUCUUUGGGCCCUCAUACGGGAGCAUGAGGAGGCACAGGGUGCGCGCACAGCCCAUUGGUUAUUGCUAUUCAUUAGACUCUGAUCUCACACACAUUAGGGACAAGCACACCUACAGUGGGAUCCAUACUGACAUACACUCAAAGAACUCAGAGUUAAGGCAGAUAAUGCCUUGAAAUUUUUGAUCUCCCUCUGCCUCAGUGACCUUUACCCUUUAAAGAGCUAAGAGGAAGGUAAACUGGCUUAACGGUCUUUACUGUCCUGAGCUAUUAGCCUGUUUCCUUGAAGCCAUUCAAAACAUAAGGAACCGAAUAGGGUUAGUUCCUAUCCCAUGAAUAUAGUGACUUGGACAGUUUAGGAGCUCACCAUGGCACUGGAAGACAAGAAAAAGACCUUGCAAGAGCCCCUGCUGCCCUUACAAAAAUAUGCAGAGUCAUGGUUAGUGCUUAUGGGUUUCAAGGAGUUUUUCCAGAGUAAGGAUUGCAGGUCCAUAGCUUGGGCUUGGUCCUGAAACCCUUACAUAGCACCAGGCUGUGAACCUUAUUUUUUCAUUCUGCUUUCCACUCUGAGCUAACACCGUUCUUUUAUAUAAUCUCAGCUGGUAGUCACAUGAUUCAGUCACCUGUCCUACUCCCCACCCCCUCCUCCAAAAAUCCCAACACCUCUGGUGAUCCUUCCAGGAACUACCCCUCAUAAAAGGGGCUUCAUUUGGAACAAAG